rfam:Rubrivivax gelatinosus IL144 DNA, complete genome.
GGGCUCUUAGCUCAGUUGGUAGAGCAGCGGACUCUUAAUCCGUUGGUCGAGUGUUCGAGUCACUCAGGGCCCA